GAUGAACGCUGGCGGCGUGCCUAAUACAUGCAAGUCGAGCGAACGGACGAGAAGCUUGCUUCUCUGAUGUUAGCGGCGGACGGGUGAGUAACACGUGGAUAACCUACCUAUAAGACUGGGAUAACUUCGGGAAACCGGAGCUAAUACCGGAUAAUAUUUUGAACCGCAUGGUUCAAAAGUGAAAGACGGUCUUGCUGUCACUUAUAGAUGGAUCCGCGCUGCAUUAGCUAGUUGGUAAGGUAACGGCUUACCAAGGCAACGAUGCAUAGCCGACCUGAGAGGGUGAUCGGCCACACUGGAACUGAGACACGGUCCAGACUCCUACGGGAGGCAGCAGUAGGGAAUCUUCCGCAAAGGGCGAAAGCCUGACGGAGCAACGCCGCGUGAGUGAUGAAGGUCUUCGGAUCGUAAAACUCUGUUAUUAGGGAAGAACAUAUGUGUAAGUAACUGUGCACAUCUUGACGGUACCUAAUCAGAAAGCCACGGCUAGCUACGUG
rnacentral:rRNA from 1 species